rnacentral:lncRNA from 1 species
CGGACUGAGAGUGAGAUUGCAUUUUUUGGGGGUAUGACCAUCGUCUACAAGAACAGCAUUGACCUCUUCCUAUACGUGGUGGGCUCAUCCUACGAGAAUGAGCUGAUGCUCAUGUCUGUUCUCACCUGCCUGUUUGAGUCUCUGAACCACAUGUUAAGGAAGAACGUGGAGAAGCGCUGGUUGCUGGAGAACAUGGACGGAGCCUUCUUGGUGCUGGACGAGAUUGUGGAUGGCGGGUGAGGAGGGGACAGUCAGGGACACUCACAGCAGGAGUGCCUUUGAUAAUCAUCAGCCCCAGAUGGCACCCAGCAUGGCUAGAACUCUGACCAACUUCUCACUCCCUUCCCCCAGCAUAUUCCCAGGGAUCCCAUUCCCCUAGCCCUUCCCCUUACUAGCGCCCCACUCAUGAAGAUAGAAGUUGAUUUCAAUGUUAGCCAAAGUCAAGCCAAACAAGAGACUAACCUGAUGUCAAACUAUGGGAGACUGUUGAAUAGGCAGGGUUUGGGGAAAAUCCAGUUUGGUCUCCAAUGCCCAGGGGAAGCACUGGCACAGAUGCUGGCCCUCUCUGGAAGGACUUCAGACAGUCCCACCAGCCCCACAUGUCCUGCUCUUAGGGCUCAAUUCCAACACAAGCUAGAUGCGUGACCUGGGUCAAUUACUGACCCUCCCCGAGGCUUACUUUCUCCAUCUUUAGGAUGGAGGUAAUAAGGGAUUGUGGGGAUUAAAUACAUGUGUGAGAAGAUACA